GAUGAACGCUGGCGGCGUGCCUAAUACAUGCAAGUCGAGCGAACAGACGAGGAGCUUGCUCCUCUGACGUUAGCGGCGGACGGGUGAGUAACACGUGGAUAACCCACCUAUAAGACUGGGAUAACUUCGGGAAACCGGAGCUAAUACCGGAUAAUAUAUUGAACCGCAUGGUUCAAUAGUGAAAGACGGUUUUGUUGUCACUUAUAGAUGGGUCCGCGCCGCAUUAGCUAGUUGGUAAGGUAACGGGUUACCAAGGCAACGAUGCAUAGCCGACCUGAGAGGGUGAUCGGCCACACUGGAACUGAGCCACGGUCCAGACUCCUACGGGAGGCAGCAGUAGGGAAUCUUCCGCAAUGGGCGAAAGCUUGACGGAGCAACGCCGCGUGAGUGAAGAAGGUCUUCGGAUCGUAAAACUCUGUUAUUAGGGAAGAACAAAUGUGUAAGUAACUAUGCACGUCUUGACGGUACCUAAUCAGAAAGCCACGGCUAACUACGUG
rnacentral:rRNA from 1 species